GUCCUAGCCGUAAACGAUGUAGACCAGGUGUGGGGAGGUAUCGACCCCUUCCGUGCCGACGCUAACGCAUUAAGUCUACCGCCUGGGGAGUACGGCCGCAAGGUUAAAACUCAAAGGAAUUGACGGGGGCCCGCACAAGCGGUGGAUCAUGUGGUUUAAUUCGACGCUACGCGAAGAACCUUACCUGGGCUCGAACGACUAGUGGUAGUCCUUAUGAAAGUAGGGGCGACCCGCAAGGGAGCUAGCCGAGGUGCUGCAUGGCUGUCGU
rnacentral:rRNA from 1 species